rnacentral:rRNA from 1 species
UCUUUAUCUUCAUUGUUAGUCGAAGGCUCUGGAAAGUGCCGCCAUAGCAGGUGAUAGCCCUGUAGACGAAAACAGCGAGGAAGAACUAGGUGUACGACAAGUAGGGCGGGACACGUGAAAUCCUGUCUGAAGAUGGGGGGACCAUCCUCCAAGGCUAAAUACUCGUGAUCGACCGAUAGUGAACCAGUACCGUGAGGGAAAGGCGAAAAGAACCCCGGGAGGGGAGUGAAACAGAUCCUGAAACCGCAUGCAUACAAACAGUCGGAGCCUCGCAAGGGGUGACGGCGUACCUUUUGUAUAAUGGGUCAGCGACUUACAUUCAGUGGCAAGCUUAACCGAUUAGGGCAGGCGUAGCGAAAGCGAGUCCGAACAGGGCGUUCAGUCGCUGGGUGUAGACCCGAAACCAGGUGAUCUAUCCAUGGCCAGGAUGAAGGUGCGGUAACACGUACUGGAGGUCCGAACCCACUAACGUUGAAAAGUUAGGGGAUGAGCUGUGGAUAGGGGUGAAAGGCUAAACAAACCUGGAAAUAGCUGGUUCUCUCCGAAAACUAUUUAGGUAGUGCCUCGUGUAUCACCUUCGGGGGUAGAGCACUGUCAUGGUUGUGGGGUCCAUUGCGGAUUACUACGCCAUAGCAAACUCCGAAUACCGAAGAGUGCAAUCACGGGAGACAGACAUCGGGUGCUAACGUCCGGUGUCAAGAGGGAAACAACCCAGACCGCCAGCUAAGGUCCCCAAAUAUGGCUAAGUGGGAAACGAAGUGGGAAGGCUAAAACAGUCAGGAGGUUGGCUUAGAAGCAGCCAUCCUUUAAAGAAAGCGUAAUAGCUCACUGAUCGAGUCGUCCUGCGCGGAAGAUGUAACGGGGCUAAGCCAUAUACCGAAGCUGCGGAUGCACAUUUAUGUGCAUGGUAGGAGAGCGUUCCGUAAGCCUGCGAAGGUGCACUGGAAAGUGUGCUGGAGGUAUCGGAAGUGCGAAUGCUGACAUGAGUAGCGAUAAAGGGGGUGAAAGGCCCCCUCGCCGUAAGCCCAAGGUUUCCUACGCAACGUUCAUCGGCGUAGGGUGAGUCGGCCCCUAAGGCGAGGCAGAAAUGCGUAGCUGAUGGGAAGCAGGUUAAUAUUCCUGCACCAUUGUUGAAUGCGAUGGGGGGACGGAUCGCGGAAGGUUGUCCGGGUGUUGGAAGUCCCGGUCCUUGCAUUGGAGAAGGCGCUUUGGCAAAUCCGGGCGCG